rnacentral:lncRNA from 1 species
GUUUGGUUUGCCAUCACUUUUUGUGACUUUUCUGACAUCUGCAAGUGUCGGAAGUGUGACCUGAAACAUUUAAGGACACUUCUGCCUGAACCAUGGGCAGAUGUUUAGACUCCAAGAUACAGAGGAGGAGGGUCUUGGAGGUUUCUUAGUAUAAGUUCCUCCCUGUGGUACUUGCAGUUCCUACAAGGGGCUGUCAGAGAAACAAGCCGGAGAAGAGCAAGACAUGGUCCUGGUGCAUGAAAGGAGCCUAAGAAAGAAGAGUGAAAGCUGCACGUGUGAAGGAAAUGAAUUUUCCUCAUUGUACACAUUCCGAGAAAAAUGAGGCUAAGACUAUUUCAAAGGAUGUUCUACCUAAUUCGAAUGGGCUUUAAGUGCCAUCUUCACAAUAGCGCCAGAGUCUGGUGUCAGCAAACUGAACAAAUAGAGCUACAGGGAGCGAAUGGGGCUGGGUGCCUCUCCAAAACAUAUGCAGAUGAACUUGAGAUUUCAGAGGACGGUUAAUCCUACACAGCAGUCAAGUGCCUUCCCAGGGGUAUGUCUCAGAUCUCAGAGCAUCCUGGCAGGCAUCCACUGUGCCAUAUGCUUUCGGGAAGUCUGGAUGCUGAAUGUGGUGGCUGUGGGGAAUUGAGCCUUAUUGCUUCAUAAGAUUCCUGGUGGUAGAACUAUUCUGAACAAGAACACGUCCGUCCCCAUAGGUGUGCUCCAAGAAUCACAGAAUAAGAAGGGACUUCGGAGAGAGCCUCACACAGUUGGGCAAUGGGAGCCCAGAGAGGCAAGGAAGGCUCCUUGCCCAAAGUCUUGUACAUCUGAAUCUGCAACUCCUGACUAUUUUUGAGUCUUAUGCUCCAGGCUAAAACUUGUGACUUUAAGUGUGAUGUUCUCGGUGAUGAUUAAUCUAGGAUGUUUCUGUUGUUUUCUUACCGUCAAAGAAUUAACAUCAAAAGGAAAGGAAGGAAGAAAUGUAGAAGUGAAGGCAAGAAGGAAGGAAGGAGGAAAGGAAGGAAGGAAAAUAUAGGCUUUGGGUAAAAAUAAGUUUCUACUCAACACUGACAAAGGUACAGGUUUUGGACAUUGGUUUCCUAAUCUGUAAAUGAGGAAUAGUCAUCACAUCGCUGUCCUGGCUGGUUUUGUGUGUCAACUUGACACAAGCUGGAGUUAUCACAGAGAAAGGAAAGAAAAUGCCUCCAUGAGAUCUAGCUGUAAAUGGAUUAGUGAUCAAGAGUGGGAGGGCCCAGUGUGGGUGGUGCCAUCCCUGGACUGGUGGUCCUGGGUUCUACAAGAAAACAAGCUGAGCAAGCCAGGGGAAGCAAGCCAGGGGAACAUCCCUCCACGGCUCUGCAUCAGCUCCUGCUUCCUGCCCUGUGUGAGUUCCAGUCCUGACUUCCUUUGGUGACGAACAGCAAUGUGAUAGUAUAAGCUGAAUAAACCCUUUCCUCCCCAAC